GUGGGGCCUGGGAGUCAGAGGGUUUGGGUUCUAAUCGCCAGUCUGCCGCUUGUCGUGUGACUCUAGGAAGACCUUCCCCUACCCCCGCCUUGGAGGACAGCAAGAAAGAUUUAGAUUAGAUAUGAAGAAGAACUUCUCCGAGGCUAUGAAACUGUGGAGCAGGAGAAGUUAUGGACUCUUCAGUUCCGACGAUCUGUAAUAGGAUUCACACCUAGAGGAGCAGAGCAAGCUCUGAGCUCUCCGAAGGGAUCGGCGGCGGUAUUGUUCCCUCCUUCAAGGAUUUCGAGCUGAGGAUGUAUGCAAUAUUCUCAUCUUUCUUGUCGAAAAUAGAAAAUUUAAGAUUAUUUCAUCUCUUGAUCUUACAAAUAUUGACACAGUAAUGUUCCCCAAAUCUCCUAAAAGAUAAAAAUUUCGGUCAAAGUGUUGAACUAAAAAAUUUAAACCUGCACAACCCAAAUCAGCGAUGUCUCCUUACA